rnacentral:rRNA from 1 species
GGUGAGUAACGCGUAGGUCAUCUGCCCUUUACCGGGACAUAACGUCGGGAAACCGGCGCUAAUAUCCCAUGAGGUACCUCGGUAUCAAAGUUUCGACGGUAGAGGAUGAGCCUGCGUCUGAUUAGCUAGUUGGUAAGGUAAUGGCUUACCAAGGCGACGAUCAGUAGCUGGUCUGAGAGGACGAUCAGCCACACUGGAACUGAGACACGGUCCAGACUCCUACGGGAGGCAGCAGUGAGGAAUUUUGGUCAAUGGGGGAAACCCUGAACCAGCGACGCCGCGUGUGGGAUGAAGGGGCUCUGCCCUGUAAACCACUGUUGAGAGGGAAGAAAAGCUUUUUUAAAAGCUGGGACUGUACCUCUUUAGAAAGGAUCGGCUAACUACGUGCCAGCAGCCGCGGUAAUACGUAGGAUCCAAGCGUUGUCCGGAAUUACUGGGUGUAAAGGGUGCGUAGGCGGGCUUGUGCGUCAGAGGUUAAAUCCCACGGCUCAACCGUGGAGCUGCCUUUGAUACGGCAAGUCUUGAGUGUGAGAGAGGAUGGUAGAAUUCUUGGUGUAGCGGUGAAAUGCGUAGAUAUCAAGAGGAAUACCAGUGGCGAAGGCGGCCAUCUGGCUCAUUACUGACGCUGAGGCACGAAAGCGUGAGGAGCGAACAGGAAUAGAUACCCUGGUAGUCCACGCCCUAAACGAUGUAUGCUUGGUGUUGGGAAGCAAUUCUCAGUGCCGAAGGAAACCCGUUAAGCAUACCACCUGGGGAGUACGAUCGCAAGGUUG